rnacentral:tRNA from 1 species
AUUAAGUUAGUUUAUCAAUUAAAAUACCAGCCUGUGGAUCUGGAGAUAAGAAGUACUCUUACUUAAUC